GACAGAGGGGGCAAGCGUUGUUCGGAAUUACUGGGCGUAAAGGGCGCGUAGGCGGCCUUCUAAGUCGAACGUGAAAUCCCCGGGCUCAACCCGGGAACUGCGUCCGAUACUGGAAGGCUUGAAUCCGGGAGAGGGAUGCGGAAUUCCAGGUGUAGCGGUGAAAUGCGUAGAUAUCUGGAGGAACACCGAUGGCGAAGGCAGGUCACUGGGCCGCAACUGACGCUGAGGAGCGAAAGCAUGGGGAGCGAACAGG
rnacentral:rRNA from 1 species